UUGGAACCAAAACCUCCUGCCGUAUGGCCAGGGGAAGAGGCCGUGGUGGAGAGGAGCAGAGAGAACCUUUCGUCCUGCAAGUGGGUGUUUUGUUUGGAGGAGAACUGGCUGGCUGUCACCUGAAGAAUCACCUGCAAGCCCCGGGAGCUGCCGCGGGGAUACUGAACAGUGGGAACCACUGCUCUGUCGGAUUUGAGGGCAUCUGCAGGUGUUGCAAUGGGGUGACAUUUUGAUCUGCUAUGACUGCUUGUGAGAAGCAAUGUCAAUUCAAGGAUGAAGAUGAUGCUUCCAAUAUAGCAAUGUUAUCAAUAAUCUUUUAAUAAAUUUGCCUUAUUUGAGGUUAACUGAA
rnacentral:lncRNA from 1 species